AGAGUUUGAUCAUGGCUCAGAUUGAACGCUGGCGGCAGGCCUAACACAUGCAAGUCGAACGGUAACAGGAAGAAGCUUGCUUCUUUGCUGACGAGUGGCGGACGGGUGAGUAAUGUCUGGGAAACUGCCUGAUGGAGGGGGAUAACUACUGGAAACGGUAGCUAAUACCGCAUAACGUCGCAAGACCAAAGAGGGGGACCUUCGGGCCUCUUGCCAUCGGAUGUGCCCAGAUGGGAUUAGCUAGUAGGUGGGGUAACGGCUCACCUAGGCGACGAUCCCUAGCUGGUCUGAGAGGAUGACCAGCCACACUGGAACUGAGACACGGUCCAGACUCCUACGGGAGGCAGCAGUGGGGAAUAUUGCACAAUGGGCGCAAGCCUGAUGCAGCCAUGCCGCGUGUAUGAAGAAGGCCUUCGGGUUGUAAAGUACUUUCAGCGGGGAGGAAGGGAGUAAAGUUAAUACCUUUGCUCAUUGACGUUACCCGCAGAAGAAAGCACCGG
rnacentral:rRNA from 1 species